CUCCUGGAAACGGGUGGUAAUGCCGGAUGUUCCAGUUGAUCGCAUGGCCUUCUGGGAAAGCUUUCGCGGUAUGGGAUGGGGUCGCGUCCUAUCAGCUUGACGGCGGGGCAACGGCCCACCGUGGCUUCGACGGGUAGCCGGCUUGAGAGGGCGACCGGCCACAUUGGGACUGAGAUACGGCCCAGACUCCUACGGGAGGCAGCAGUGGGGAAUAUUGCACAAUGGGCGCAAGCCUGAUGCAGCGACGCCGCGUGAGGGAUGGAGGCCUUCGGGUUGUAGACCUCUUUUAUCGGGGAGCAAGCGUGAGUGAGUUUACCCGUUGAAUAAGCACCGGCUAACUACGUGCCAGCAGCCGCGGUAAUACGUAGGGUGCAAGCGUUAUCCGGAAUUAUUGGGCGUAAAGGGCUCGUAGGCGGUUCGUCGCGUCCGGUGUGAAAGUCCAUCGCUUAACGGUGGAUCCGCGCCGGGUACGGGCGGGCUUGAGUGCGGUAGGGGAGACUGGAAUUCCCGGUGUAACGGUGGAAUGUGUAGAUAUCGGGAAGAACACC
rnacentral:rRNA from 1 species